rnacentral:rRNA from 1 species
GGCGGCGCGCCUAACACAUGCAAGUCGAACGAGAGAUGAGGAGCUUGCUCUUCAAAUCGAGUGGCGAACGGGUGAGUAACGCGUGAGGAACCUGCCUCAAAGAGGGGGACAACAGUUGGAAACGACUGCUAAUACCGCAUAAGCCCACAGGUCGGCAUCGACCAGAGGGAAAAGGAGCAAUCCGCUUUGAGAUGGCCUCGCGUCCGAUUAGCUAGUUGGUGAGGUAACGGCCCACCAAGGCGACGAUUGGUAGCCGGACUGAGAGGUUGAACGGCCACAUUGGGACUGAGACACGGCCCAGACUCCUACGGGAGGCAGCAGUGGGGGAUAUUGCACAAUGGGGGAAACCCUGAUGCAGCGACGCCGCGUGGAGGAAGAAGGUUUUCGGAUUGUAAACUCCUGUCGUUAGGGACGAUAAUGACGGUACCUAACAAGAAAGCACCGGCUAACUACGUGCCAGCAGCCGCGGUAAAACGUAGGGUGCAAGCGUUGUCCGGAAUUACUGGGUGUAAAGGGAGCGCAGGCGGACCGGCAAGUUGGAAGUGAAAACUAUGGGCUCAACCCAUAAAUUGCUUUCAAAACUGCUGGCCUUGAGUAGUGCAGAGGUAGGUGGAAUUCCCGGUGUAGCGGUGGAAUGCGUAGAUAUCGGGAGGAACACCAGUGGCGAAGGCGACCUACUGGGCACCAACUGACGCUGAGGCUCGAAAGCAUGGGUAGCAAACAGGAUUAGAUACCCUGGUAGUCCAUGCCGUAAACGAUGAUUACUAGGUGUGGGAGGAUUGACCCCUUCAGUGCCGCAGUUAACACAAUAAGUAAUCCACCUGGGGAGUACGACGGCAAAGGUUGAAAUUCAAAGGAAUUUGACGGGGGGCCCGCACAAGCAGUGGAGUAUGUGGUUUAAUUUGAAGCAACGCGAAGAACCUUACCAGGUCUUGACAUCCGAUGCAUAGUGCAGAGAUGCAUGAAGUCCUUCGGGACAUCGAGACAGGUGGUGCAUGGUUGUCGUCAGCUCGUGUCGUGAGAUGUUGGGUUAAGUCCCGCAACGAGCGCAACCCUUAUUGCCAGUUACUACGAAAGAGGACUCUGGCGAGACUGCCGUUGACAAAACGGAGGAAGGUGGGGAUGACGUCAAAUCAUCAUGCCCUUUAUGACCUGGGCUACACACGUACUACAAUGGCGUUUAACAAAGAGAAGCAAGACCGCGAGGUGGAGCAAAACUCAAAAACAACGUCUCAGUUCAGAUUGCAGGCUGCAACUCGCCUGCAUGAAGUCGGAAUUGCUAGUAAUCGCGGAUCAGCAUGCCGCGGUGAAUACGUUCCCGGGCCUUGUACUCACCGCCCGUCA